rnacentral:sRNA from 1 species
AGCAUUUCGCCUCCACACCCCCCUCUCCGCGCUGGUCCAGGAGGGAGGCGGGACGUGGGGGUGCUGCCCAAGCCCCACUCCUGGUGUACGGGGGAGAGGGUGGAGAACCCAGAAAAACCCGUUUGAAGAAGAUGUGCCUGCCUGCGCGUUCAAGGUGUCAGGAGUGCUUGGUAAAUUUUUGGACACCCGCGUUUCAGCUGUACAUUCAGUUGAGGAAAUGCAGUCGUGUAUCCAAAAUGAAUUACCAUGAGCUAGCUAACAUAGCUCAGAAGAUGGCAGGGUCACAGGGCCCAGGCCCCCUUCGGAGGGACUGAGCUUUCACCUCCGAAUCAGCGUCUUACUGGCACUUGGAGAAUGUGAAUUACAAUGUACUUGACUGCGGCUUUUCCUCUCCCCCUUCAGAGGUUUUACACACCUGAAAGAAGAGAAUGUCAAGACGAAGUAGCCGUUUACAAGCUAAGCAGCAGCCCCAGCCCAGCCAGACGGAAUCCCCCCAAGAAGCCCAGAUAAUCCAGGCCAAGAAGAGGAAAACUACCCAGGUGAUUUAAGGAGAAAGAGGGAGGAACGAAAUUCCAUGCUGGGACUUUAGUUUACCAAGGGUCUUUUCUAUUUUCCAGGAUGUCAAAAAAAGAAGAGAGGAGGUCACCAAGAAACAUCAGUAUGAAAUUAGGGUAAUGCAGAACUGGGCUGGGUGGGUUUGGGGGAAAAAUGGAGGACAGAUGAAUAAGAAUAGAAUUAUGUGUUUAUUGCUUUGCAAUAGAUUCCUCUGACACUUUUACUUUUAAUGCCCCUAGAGGUCAGCAGGAAGGCGCUUAUCUUUGGGUGGUUUCUAUGUGCCCGAAUCCUACUACAGCUGCAGAGUAAGUGCCUUCAAGCAGCUGGUUCCUUUUUGUAAAUCCCUCCCUCU